GCCUCCUCGUGGGCAGACAGCACAGUCAGGCAGGGUGGUCGAGAGGGGGCAGGGUCCUUUGACUCUGGCUCCUCCUGGAACAAGGGAGAUGGGCUUUGAAGAAAGAGCAGGUGACUCUCGGGCUGGGCUCGCCCAUGUGGGAACGGAGAGGGCAGCUCAAAUGGGUGGGAGAUGGAUCCUGGUGGAAAGCACACAGCCUGAGUGGAUAGUGUGUGGCGUGAACCUGGCCGAAAGCGACCAGACAUGGGUCCUGCUGCCAUCCACACUGCAGUGAAGCUUUGAGGCCUUGGACCACGGGGCCACACAGCUACUGGAGACUUUAAGCUUCAUUUUACCCAGUUAUGGGGGCUGGAUUAUUUCCUAGCCGAAUGGAGUGGCUUCUCAGCCAUUGCUGAAACGUCUGGUUCCACAUGACGCACGUUGGACUGUCAAGACUCUUACACAUCAGGUCCUCACAGACUCCCUGGUGCACUGUGUCCUCAUGAGCGGCCAGGUCUUUCUUCUGCCUCAUUUGUGUGACCAUGCAGACGCCACACUGCAAAUCCAGGGUGCCCUAAGCUCCCGUCACCCUGACGUGGUGGCUGUGAUACUAAAAGGGAGUGGAUUGCUCAAUAAAGAUGGCGGUGGCCAUGGCGUCGGGCUGGCACUCACAAGAACCACUCCAACCUAGACGUUAGCUACAGUGACUGAGCUUUGGUUGGAGCCCAUAGCCCAUCCUACUCUGUGAACAGCUAACUGGUUAAGCUGUAACUGGCUGACUAGUUGGCCAACUAGGUUUUUGUCUAUGCCACGCGCGUGUUUGUGUCACUGCUGUCUGGUCCUGUUGUUGGAGUUCUCAGAACCUGCUCUCUUGUUCCGCCUGCUCCAAUAAACCACAGAGCUUAGUGGGAUGAAGGGACUUUCAGCUGUGUGGGAUGAGGGGCAGCAGAUACCUGGGCCAAGUGCUGUUGGCGGAUGCACAGAGAUGGCCAACCCUUGCUCUGACACACAAGACUUCUGUCCUUUAAGAUUGUCCAGCACUGGGUCCUGCAGGAAGCAGCUGGAGUGAAUGAGGAGCAGGUGUGCCCAGGACAGGGCUCUGGCUCCCCCUGUGACCUCACUAGGACCAGCCUUCGAGUCCCAGCCUCUUUGUUCACUGCCCUGGGCCUCACCUCUCUCUGAUCUGGGG
ensembl:lncRNA